CAGUAGAUAGUUUAAUUAAAAUUUAGGUUUUGGAGGCUUAAGAUAUUUCUUUUUCUACUGA
rnacentral:tRNA from 1 species